UGGAGUUUCUGUUGGUGGGUUAUGCGCUUGGUUCAUGUGUGAUUAUUGAAGAAAGGAACAAAAGGCCAUAUACACAAAAAUAAAAACAUCAAGUAACAACCAAUAAUAGGAAUGUGUUGUAGGCCAAGGAGUAGGACUGACCCAUUUCAGCACAAUAGAGACUUAUUUUUUAAAAAGGUAGAAGGAAUUUAAUUUUCAGAAAUGUUUCAUAUUUUGUAGUAUUUCUGCGCCAUACUUGAUUUAAGUAUUUCCAUAUUGGAAGAGAAUCAGGCUGUUAACUGUUCAGGAGAAGCUCUUGUAAGGUGAAACAUGCUGUUUGUGUUCUAGUGGGGGAUACCAUUGUGGAUUUUCAUUGUUCAUUAUACCACCUUUAAAAUUAGGCAAAUUAAAUGAACAUAGCCCAGUCAUCGGCCAUUCAUGUUGAUAGUACUGAUCUGAAGCAAGAUUUGUUGAUUAUUCCAUGUGUGGCACUGAGAUCCAGUUUGACAGCUUUGUGGGAAUUGAGCCUAGAGAUAUAUUGUUCUGACAUCCAGGAUCUUGUUCUUAGAAUUUGUGAUUCAUGGGAAAAUGAAGGUAUACAUGAAUGAAGAAAAAGAGUGCCAAGCCUGGACCAGUGAUGAGAUUGGAGGGUGUCUGAAUCAAAAAUUUUGAUUAAAGCCAUCUGUAACUCUGAGGUCCAUUUUGAAAAGAGGCCCCCAUUUUUCCCUCUAGGGAAAUGAGCUUAUAACACAAGUUCAGAAUAUUCAGGUAUCUUGAUCACGGGUGUUCAUAGUUUUUUGGUAUAGAUUCCAUUUUAUAAGUAAAUCAAUGCAUAAAUUUUGCAUAAAUGGGUAAAUAUAAGGAGAGCUUGGCAAUGACCAAUUAUGAGAGUAUGUAAUGACGAAUGGAUUAUUAUUAUAUGCUUCUAUAGCACUGAAUUCCAGUGACAUAUAAUGAUAGAGGCUGUUGCCUUGUUUUGGAAGGAGUAUGUGGACAGAUGUAUGCAAGACACAAAAUAAUUGUUUGAUGUUGAUGGUUGUUUACUGAUUGGUUUUAUUUAGAGGAGGGAAAAUUGCAUUAAUAAAUAAUAGAGGAAACAGUUAUUUAAUUGGAAAUAAAUGGGCAUGUUUCAACUUGAGAAUAUUCCUUAUGAAAAGUUAUUAUAAAUCCAACUCUGUACUGAGUUUUACUAAAAACUAAAAAAAGCAUCUAGUUUCUAAAUCUUCUGGAUAGCAUAAUGGACAUAUGGAGACAUAAUAUUAUUCAAGCUUCUUCUAUAAUAAUGAAGACCAUGGUUGAUUUAAUCAGUCUCUGCUGAUGAAGAUCUUGGCUGUUACCUUUGUGUAAUAAAUGCGCAAUGAUUCAAUUAUUCUCCAGCGAGGAAGAUCAUGGUUGUUGUCUGUUUGAGUAAUGAGUGUAGAAACCUACAAUGGAGGCGUGAUGGCUGAUGCAAUCAUUUUCCACUGAUGAAGGUUUUGAUGGCUACCUGUAAUGAACAGCCCCAUCUGAUUUAAUCACUGUGCAAUGACCGUGAACUAUACAGUUACCUCCGCGUGUCACAGGAAGACUCUUAAUGAACACCCUCAAGUUGACUUAAGCACCCUUCCAUGGUCAUGAGGUUUCUGGUUGCCUCUGUGUGUUAGAAGCUUGGAGACCAAUGCCUUCUGCUGUGAUCACGUUCUCCACAGUUGCCCCUGAGUAGGAGCCUGGACACUAAUAGAAAAUGGAUGCAUUUGAGCCGACCUAAGCAUUCAUGGUCAUGAGAUUUGUGGUUGCCACUGUUGGUUAGGAGCAUAGAGAUCAGUAAUGGACACACCUGGGCUGGCAGAACAUCUUGCCUUGAUCUGGAGCCCCAUGUCUGCCCCUCUGUAGAGGUGCACAUGGGCCAAUGAUGGAUGCAAUGAGCUGAUCAUUUUGCUGUGAUCAAGGCUAUGUUGCCUCUGUGUUAGGCCAAUAAUGGACGCACCUGAACUGACCUAUGCAUUUGCAAGCUCCACGGCUGUCCCAGUGUUUGGAGCAUGGAGACCGAUUUGAGUUAUAGUCACUGUUCUUGCCUUGGUUUUGGUGGCUUAUUUAGGAUACUCACUGAAUACUUUUUUAAAAAGUAUUAAAUAUAACCAAAGAAGGCCAACUGUGGCCCAAUGAUAAGUAUGGAUUUGACAUGAAAUAUUAUGUUGAUUGACCAAUUUUUGUAACAAUGGGAAUGAUUAAUGAAAGAGGUAUAUUCAGUGAUAUACACAUAUGUCACUAAAUGAAUGACGUGAUUCCAUAGAUAGAUAUUAGGGAUAUAAGAAUCUCUUUUCUGUGAGAUUUUGUGAUUCACAGAUAAUUAUUUUAUUAUGUUUGAUGAAUUGAGAAUUAAUUAAUAAGCAAAUAUACAGUAGUAUGAAGAAAAAGACAUGUAAACCUGAACCAAUGAUUGAUGGUUUAGGAGUCAUGGGUGAUGAAUAAUAUGUGUCUGGAACCUAAAGGUUUGCAGAAAACAAAAUCUGAUCUAUUUCCUAGGGUCAUUUGCAAAUCACAAUCAAUGUUUGAAAUGAUAGAUGGAUGUUAAUAAUGUGUAAGAAUCUACUUUUAUUUUGGAUUCAUGGAUUAAUAUAUUGUUAUUAUUUAAAAUUGAUCCAUGAUGAAAGUAUUAAACAAACAUAUAAUUCGACAAAUAAGAAGAUGGAGAGAUGGACUUCAACCAUGUGAUGAUUCAAGAUAUACGAUCAACAUAAAAUGAAACACUAGCUCCCAACAUGGUGAAACCCUGUCUCUAUUAAAAAUACAAAAAAUUAAAUGGACGUGGUGGUGCACGCCUCUAAUCCCAGCUACUCGGGAGGCUGAGGCAGGAGAAUCACUUGAACUCAGGAGGUGGAGGUUGCCGUGAGCCAAGAUUGCGCCAUUGCACUCCAGCCUGGGCAACAAGAGCAAAACUCUGUCUAAAAAAAAAAAAAAAAAAAAAAAGAAAGAAACGGACCCAAGGGUGUUACCUCUUUUUGAUUAGUGAUCAUCUAGAUGCUGGGUAGUAGGAAUUUUAUUGCUUGGAGCAGUCCUUUUGAGGUUGUUUGUUUUGUUCAGAAUGAACAUAUAUGUUAUGAAAGAUUAAUAAAUACCUAAAUUACUGGGAAAGCAAAGAUCGACAAAAAGGUCUUAGUUUUUAAAAUCAGCUGCUUUGCUUUGUAUUUCUUAGAAGGGAUGCACUGGAGCUGAUUUAAGAAUUCUCUCAUAGUCACAAGACGUAUGCUUGCCUCUGUGUAGGUUCCUGGAAACCAAUUGAGUUGAUGAAUUAAUCUAUCAAUAAAUGAAGACAUGAAUGAAGAAAAAGAGCUCCAGGUCUGGACCAAAGACGAAGCUUGGUGAUAUAUGAAUUACGAACAAUAAAUACCUGUGUUUGGAACUUUGAGGUCCAACAUGAAAACUAGUUUACUCCCUAUGAUGUAAUUGAUCCUAUAUAUAUAUAUAUAUAUAUGUAUUAGAAAUAGCAAAGAUCUGAUUGUGUUUCAUAGCUAUCAAUUAUAUCUUCAUAAGUUGAUUAGUGCACAAAUAACCAAAGAAAUGUAUGAAUACACGAAGAAAAAUGGAACCAAGUAUGGACUAAGUAUGUCCUCUAUAAAGUUGCUCUUAUUUAGAAACAAAUUCUAGGAUUUUACUAGGGUCGGAUAGGCAUUUCUGUUCUAGAUUUCUGAAAAUGAAAAGAUUACUCAUUUUGUUGAAAAGGAAUAGAUGGUUGGAAAAAUUAAUUCGUUUGUUCCUGAAUUAUAAACUCAUUUAGACUAAUAAUGAAUGAGUUAAUAGAUAAAAAGGUCAAGAACUGACCACUCAUGAGACUGUGUUAUAAAGCCAGGAAUGAGAAGAAGCUGACUCUGUAAGGCAAAGCUAAAUUGCAGAGAAUAGCAAGACGAUUACAUGUUUGAGUGGCGGCACUGGGGCCAAUAUGUCCCAUAGUCAGAUGUUUUUCUUAAUGCAGGUGAUGGAUUCAAGAAUGUUCACUAUUGAUGUAAAAUUCAUAACUGAAAUAAUUCAAUAAAUAAAAGGAGAGUGAAUCUAAUCUAAGGAUGGGGAGUGUCGUGAACCAAUGUUUGAGAUGAACCUAACCCUGAUCAUUUCAUAUUUAUUCAGACACAGCCUGAAUCUUGUUGUUUCUCACCUGUAACAUCUACUUUGUACUUUGCAGGGUUGAUGUUCAUGGGUGAUUGAUCAUCCUGUAGCGACGGUGGUAUUGACUGUUCCCCAGAGGACAAGGAGUGUGUUCUUACGCAAGUCAUAGUUGACAUUCUUGUUUUUGAUUCGGUAGUUUGCCUGUUCGUUGAUGUUCAUAGUACUAUAGAAGGUAGAUAAAUGGCCACAUACCUAAAGUGAGAGUCUGUUAUAAACUAAGGAUUAUAAUUAAUCUAAUUCAGUACAACUGUGGACAAUUUUGAAAAGAUAAAGAUUGAUGUCAUUUUAGCCAUUUUAUAGAUAAACUAAAAAUGGGACAUUUUUAAUAUCCCAUUUUAGCAUUUUUCAUAGUUUACACAAACGUUCCUAUAUUGCUAGAUAGCCUAGUCUGUGAACUCCCUGAGGAAGGAGCACAUGUGAAGUAAAUACUUGUCAUUAUCAUAGUGGGAUCAAGUGGAAUAUUCUUCCGGCUUAUUGUUACAUCUUCAUAGACUAUAUAAUUUAAACAAAACGGUUCAAGCAUGGACCAUGACAUAACUGAAAUCAAAUGUAGACAAACAUGAUUAUUAUUAUAUUUCACAACAUUUUUGUAGUUCGUUACAAAAAAAGACCUAGCCUAUUAUAUUACCUUGUUUAUUAUCUCUCUUGGAAAUGAACCAGUUGAUUGAUAUUAAGACUAUUCAAGAAACUUGCUUAGGGGCUAUGGUGGAUUGUUAACACAUACUAAUUUUAUUAUCAGUGGAUAAGUAUGCAUAAACAUCUUGUAAGUUAAUAUAGAUACAUAUGUCUAAGUGUGGUCUCAUUUUGAGUAUAUUUACUGGAACAAGAAUUAUUAUGACAUGUCUUAAAUGUUAUGAUCCAUUAAUAAAAAUAGACCAAGCUUGUGACCCAAGUCAGUAACCUGCAUAUACACAUAUGUGAAUACUCAUUGUCUUUAUUUCUGGAGCUUUUUAGUUUAUACUUGUUUUUGUUUUCUCUUUUAGUAAAUUGAAAACAUUAUAUAAAUACGUAAAUCAAAACAUAGGUAAGGAAGUGAGAGGAAGCUAAGCAUGGACUACUUAUGAGGAUGUGUUUUUAAGCAGGGAUUAUAACUUAAUCCAUUUUAGUACAAUGGAGCACGAUUUAAAAAGAGAUCAGUGUUUUCCAUUCUCUUUUCAUAGCUAUGUAUUAUUCCAUUUUGGGUUUUACUCCUGUUUAUGCAACAUUCCUUGAUGGAUAACAAUCUAUGGGUUAGAUCCAAGGCUUAAAUUUUACGUAGUUGUGUUUUUAUAAGUCAUUAUCAGGGUUUUAGAUGUUGAAUGGGGUGAUGACUGAUGGUUGUUCGUCGUUCCAUGUUAAACGUGUUAAAUAAAGAAAAGGCCAAGCACCAAUCAGUGAUAUGAAUGGAUUGAUUGAUCAGUUUUAUGAUUAAAUUCAUUUCUGCACCCCUGCAAUUUAUUUAAAAGGGAGAUUUGGUAUAUUAAAUCUAUGGAAAUUUCAAUGGAGUGAUUGUCUCAUGCUUUUCACACCUGUCCUAUAUUCCACAGAAUGGACAUCAUGAUUGGGAUCGUCUUUAUUAAACUUUGUCAGGAGAGUAAAGAUCAAUGUGGCCACGUGUUGUGGCUCAUGCCUGUAAUCCCAACACUUUGGGAGGCUGAGGUGGGCGGAUCACCUGAGGUUGGGAGUUCGAGACCAACCUGACCAACAUGGAGAAACCCCGUCUCUACUAAAAAUACAAAAUUACCUGGGCAUGGUGGCACAUGUCUGUAAUUCCAGCUACUCAGGAGGCUGAGGCAGGAGAAACGCUUGAACCCGAGAGGUGGAGGUUGCAGUGAGCUGAGAUUGUGCCAUUGCACUCCAGCCUGGGCAACAAGAGUGAAACUCCAUCUCAAAAGAAAAAAAAAAAAAAGAAAAAAAAAAGAAAACAAAACAAAAAAAGAAAAAACCAAUGUAAGUACCUGUUAAAGUUCUUGCUAUGGUUCCAGUGAUUUGCUUCCUCACUGUGUUAAUUAAGAAAUUUGAGGUAUAUUUAAUGAAUGUCCUCCCUUCCCACUGGCCCUGCCAGGCAUGCUGCCAUCUGUUCUCUGGGACUUGUGAGUAGUACACUGCUCCUGUUAUUUCAUGUGCUUUGCUAAGUUGUUUCUUCUGUGUCUCAACUGAUCAACACACCCAGACCUAACUUAUUUCCAGGUUGGGGCUCUCCUAGAGAGUGCCUCUCUUGGUAGGAAUAAACUGGACACAGACAAGAGCCUCCAGGGUGUCUGCCUGUAUAAACAAGUUUUCUAUGAGAGGGACAAUGGGUCAUAGGUUGAACACUUGGGCAUUACAUCUGUGAGAAUAAGUCUAUAGUAAAUUUCAGUAAUUUUGAGGGAUCUAAUUAUGGGGUUUCGGUAGAUCCUGGGGAUUUAUUGCAUUAUUUGAAGGAAAUACAUGAAAGAAUCAGCAAAACAUACAGACACACAUAUAAAUAAUUAAAGAUGAAGAGGAUAAAGCUGGAUUAAUUGAGGAAAAUGCUAUCAGACAGGAAUUUUUGGUUCUGUAAUUCUGAAACACUGCAAUGCAUUAAGAAACCUGUACAUCAAGGGUGUCACCUGUCUAGGGUAGGGUAAUAUAGAGUGGUGGUUCUCAAAUGCGAGCAUUGGAGUGACCUGGAGGGCUAGUAAAAUACAGCAGGUCACCUACCUUCUCAGGAUUUCUGAUUCAGUAGGUUUGGUGUGGGGUCUGACAAUCUAAAUUUCUAAUAACUUAAUUUCUGUAGGUUCCAAUAGUUUCCCAAAUCAUGCUGAUGCUGCCUCCUGAGAAAUAUUUUCAGAAUCACUGAGAAAAAUGUAUGAAAUAGUUAAUGUCAUUGCUCUGUGUCAGUGGUAAGUUCCAGUUUGUUUAUUUUAUUGAGAAAGAUAAGGUAAUUAAUUAAUUAAGCAAUUAAUAUUUAUUUAUUUAUAUUUGAGAUGGAGUCUCACUCUGUUUGUUGCCCAGGCAGGAGUACAGUGACGCGAUCUCAGCUCACUGCAACCUCCACCUCCCAGGUUCAAGCAAUUCUCCUGCCUCUGCCUCCCGAGUAGCUGGGAUUAAAGGCGUGUGCCACCACGCCUGGCUAAUUCUUGUAUUUUUAGUAGAGACGGGGUUUCACCAUGUUGGCCAGGCUGGUCCUGAACUCCUGACCUCAAGUGAUCCGCCCACCUCAGCUUCCCAAAAUGCUGCAAUUACAGGCGUGAGCCACUGCACCCCACCCAAUUAAUAUUUAAAAGUCUAAGUAAAUGAAAGGGGAACAACAUGGCUCAAUGGAGAAAAUGUCUAAUUUAUGUAACAUCAUUGUUACAUCGUACCAAAUGGAUGCACCUUAGGUGAGUUAAGCAUUCUGAAAAGACCAGGCUUUCUAGGAUACUGCUACAUUUUAGGAGAUUAGAAAUCAGUGGAAUUGGCACAGUCUUUGUCCGUUGAGUGGGUUUUCAUGGGUGUUCAUUGUACAUCUUUAAAAUGAGUGAAUGACUACAUACAUGAAUAAAAUCAAACAAGGACAAGCCUAUACUAAUGAUGAAGAACCAAAAUUUAGGAUUAAUUUGAUCUAGUGUUAUUUAGGAUGGUUUUUAAAAAAGAUCAAGUCCCUAUCACAAAUUGUUCUGUUUAGAAUUCUACUGCAGGUUUUCCCUAAGCAUUCCUCAAGUGAUAAAGACGUAAGUUACGAAGAAGGGACACAUAGGAACUAGAGGCAUUUGUCAGCGUUUUAUUCUGGUGGUUGAGUCGUGUUUAUGUAGAAAGAAUAUACAAAUUAUGUGAAAAAAGGCCAAGGAAGGACCAAUGAUGCGAGUGGAAUACAUUCUGAAAUGUGUUUUAUGAUCAAAAUAUCUGUGACCUACUGCGGUCCACUACAAAGAGGGAUUUAAGUGUUUACAUCUGUAGGAAUGCCUACAGAUAGAUUUCAGUGACAUUCAGGAAUCAGGUUCUCAGUCUUUGGUGCUUCAUGGAUUUUGAUUUUGUUGUUAUUCAAUAAGUGAAAGAAUAAACAAAUAUGUCAGUGUAUAAAAAUGAAUAGAAUGAAGGGUAUCUAACUAUGAAAAUAUGGGGUGAGGCCAGAAUUAUUGUUAAUAUAACAUAGAACCACUGGAGUUCAGUAAGUAAUGCUAUCUUUACCCCAAAAUGUAACCCCUUAAUGCAUCGAAGGGGUUACAUUUUGGGGUAAGGAUAAGUAAGCAAGAUUGUGAUGUAUGUUCUUGCUCUGAGUCAGUGAUGAGUUCAAGUGGCCACUUACUGCAGAGGGAAAAAAAUAAAUUAUGCCAUAAAAUAAUAAAUACCUAAAUGACUGAGCAAAGGAAAUGGGGAAGGCAUGUAUCAGUGGAAAGAAUAUCUCUGCUUUCUGUUAUUUGCAGUGCUUAUAUUCCUCAGAAUGAAAGCUCCUAGCUGAUUUAAGCAUUCUACUGUGGCCAUGAACUCUUAUGUGUUAGGAGCAUAGAAACCAAUGUAAGAGUCAAAGCACUUGUCUUAGUAUGAGUGGCUUGUUUAAAAAUAUUCACUGUACUGUUGACAAAAUGUUUAGUCAAAGAAGUUGACUAUGGUGUACUAUGGCAUUGAUAUGAAAUGUAUGUUCAUUAGUGGAUAUGUACAACACAAAUUAAUUAAUGAAGGUUAUAGUUGCUGAGUGAAUUUAUUCUGUAGACAGUUAUGGAUACUUAAGAAUACUGUUCUGUGGAAUUUGUGGUUCAUGUACAUUUAUUUUAUUGUAAUUAAUCUAUUGAAGAACUAAUAAAUCAACAAAUAUAGAAAUGGAUGAGGAAAAAGAUGUCAAAUCCUGAACUAGUGGUGACGGCUGGUGGCAUAUUUAGUCACAGAUGAUGAAUAAAUACAUGCCUGAGACUCUGAGGUUAGUACCUAGACAGAGAUCUAGUCUGUUAUUUUUGAUGGAUGUAGUCCUGUAGGAUGAUUAGUUAUACACAAAGGUGAUGUUCUUGGACUUUUGUAGUUCAUGAAUUUUGAUUGUAUUGUUACAAAGCAAUCAAUGACAAAAUUUAUACAAUUGCAUGAAGAUGAAGAGGGUGAAACAUUGUCCAAUUAUGAAAUAUGAGGUGAGGCCUGAAAUACUAUUAAUAUAAUUUGAAAGUCCUAAGGUCCAUAAGUAGAUAAGUGGAUCAAGGGUGUCACCUCUUUGGUACAGUAUCAUAUAGACCAGGGGUCCCUAACCUCAGGGCUGUGGACCAGUAUCAGUGCCUGGUGUGUUAGGAACCAGGCCACACAGCAGGAAGUGAGUAGCGGGGGAGCAAGCAUUACCACCUGAGCUCCGCCUCUUGUCAGGUCAGUAGUGGCAUUAGAUUCUCAUAGGAGCAGAACCUGUUGUGAACGGUGCAUGCCAGGGAUCAAGGUCACAUGCUACUUAUGAGAAUCUAAUGCCUGAUGAUCUGAGGUAGAACAGUUUCAUCUGGAAACCACCCCUCCCUGCCCUGGUCCGUGGGAAGAUUCUCUUCUACAAAACCCAUCCUGGGUGCCAAAAACGUUGGGGACCAUUGGUAUAGACAGUGAUAAGUAACAGUCAGUGUUAUUGUUCUGCAUCAAUGGCAAGUAUCAUCCUGUCCUAUUUUUAGAAGAGACAAAUAAUAACAUCAAUUAGUAAACAUUUACGUGGAUAAAUAAAUGAAAGUUGGAAAGCCAUUGUCAAUGGAGAGAAUUUUUCAACUUUUUAAUCACUGGUUCUCCUUUAUAUUCCUCAAGGUGGAGGCUGUCUGCAGUAGGAGCAUGGAGACCAACAAUGGAUGCUAUUAAACUGAUUUAAGCACGCUUCCAUGGUCAGAAGCCUUAUGGUUGCCACGGGGUAUUAGGAGCAUGGAGACCAAUAAUGGAUGUCCUUGUUCUGAUUUGAGGAUGCCUCAAAGGUCACAUACUCUGUUUGCACCAUGUUUAGGAAGGAGCCUGAAGACCAAGGGGAGUAAUAGUCAAAGUCCUUACCUUCGUUUGGGUGGUUUGUUUAAGAGUGAUCAACGUAUUAUUUAAAAGUGUGAAAUACAGUCAAAGAUGGCCAAUGUUAUUCCAGUGAAAUGGGAGUGACAUGAAGUAUUAUAUUGAUGAUGCAUAUAUAAGAAACAGGAUAGUUAAUGAAACACCCAAUGUUUGGGUGAUUCUGUAUACUGAUAUGGAAUAUCAAGAGUGUUACUGGGUUUUGCGAAUCACAGGCCUUGAAAGUAUUAUUAAUGAAUAAAUGAUGUAACAAUAGACAAGGUAGAAAUGAAUAGCAAAAAAAAAGAAGAUCAAUGAUGACUACUGGUAGUGUAUGAGUUACACAUGAUGAAUACAUGUCUGAAACUCUGAGGUCCAUCACAAAAGAAAUCUGGCCCAUUCCUUCUGAUUCAGGUGAUCCUAUGAAUAUACAAUGUGUUUGCUUUUGGUCUUUGGGUUUGUUCACUUCAUUGUAUUAUUAUAAUUGGAUCAAUGAAAUAAUUUAUACGUAUACAUGUACGUAUAUGAAGGGGAUGAAGUAUUGUCCAAUUAUAAAAUAAGUGGUGAGGCAAGAUGUAUUAUUAUUAUUAUAUUAAAGCAUUAUAUUAAAGCUUUAAUAUAUUAAAUAAAAAUCUAAUAUUAAUUAAUGUAUAAUUAAUGCAAUAUUUAAUAUAUAUUAAAUAUAAUAAUAUAUUAAAAUAUUAUAUUAAAGCAUUGAAGUCCUAAGAGAAAUAAAUGUUACCCCACUGUAACGUCUUUGAUUAAGGAUGAUACAGGUGGUAUUUAUAGAUAAUGGUCAACCUCUGGGUCAAGGAAAGUUGCACAAAGUGUUCAUUUUCUUAAGAGAAAAUGAAAUAAUUAUCCUUCAGAUAAUGAUUUCUCAAAUGUUUUCUUAAAGGGAAGAUGAUAAACACAGAUCAUGGAGGACUGUUUCAUCUGUUUGUGAUCUGCUGUCCUCUGUGAGUCUCAGGAUGGAUGUUUGCCAGCCGAUUCCAUGGUUACAAGCUCUAUAGCUGCAUCUAUGUGUUAGGAUCAUGAAGACCAAUAAUGGAUGCACUGAGCUGAUUAUGAAUUUAGCCCUGAUCAAGACUUGUGUUGCUGUCAUGAUAUGAAAGAUUCCAGUAAUGAAUGCACUUGAGUUGAUUCAAGCACGCUUCCAUGGUCAUGAGCUCUGUGGUUGCAUCUGUGUGUUAGGAGCAUGCAGACCAAUGUGAGUAGUAAUCAGUGUUCUUAUACCAAAUCCAGCAGUUUUUAGAAUGGUAUUUGCUGCAUUAUUUUAGAGUUUUAAAUAUAAUCAAAUAAGAGAAGUCUGCCCAUGUUCAAUAUCACAUUGAUAUGAAGCAUUUAUACUGAGUAAUGCAUCUAUGCAAAAGCUCAGUUGAUGAAAGAAAUUUGGUCUCUGUGGAAAGGAUUAUAUAGAUGGAUGUUAGGGAUAUUCAGAAUAUAAUUCUUAUUUUUCUUUUCAGAUUUUUGUGUAUUUCUUUGUUAAUACAUUAAUAAAUAAACAAAUUUAGAUGGGAAUAGAGAAAGAGGGCUGAUCCUGGACCAGUGAUGACCACUGGUGGCAUAUGAGUCAUGCACAUGAAUACCAUGUUUCUAGAACUCUGAGGUCCAACACAAAUGGGAUCUAGUCCAUUCCUCCUUUGUGAAGGGAUCCAAUGGACAGAUAUCAGGAUAUGCAAGGAUCUUUUUCGGGAUUUUUGUGUUAGUAUUUAAAAAAUAUUAUUGUAAAAUAAUCAAGGGCAGGAUAAAUAAAUGAAUGUAUAAAUGAACAGAAAUGAAGAGAGUGAAGCAUUGUUUACUGCUAAAAUAUGUAAUAAAGAAAAUGGAUUAUUAGUAUAAGUUAGAAUGGAUAAUAUAUGGAUUGAGUUUAUUAUGUCUUGGAUUAAAGAUGAUGUCAACUGUGAUGGAUAAUAGUUAUUACUCUCAGUUACAUGUUUGAAGUUCAUUUUAUUGAGAGAAAAAUAAGCAAAUAUUCCUAUAAAUUAUUAUUAUUAUUAUUAUUAUUGUUAUUACUUUGAGAUGGAGUUUUGCUCUUGUCGCCCAGGUUGGAGUGCAGUGGCACAAUCUUGGCUCACUGCACCCUCCGCUUCCUGGGUUCAAGUGAUUCCCCUGUCACAGCCUCCCAAGUAGCUGGGAUUACAGGCACCCGCCACCACGCCUGGCUAAUUUUUGUGUUUUUAGUAGAGAUGGGGUUUCACCAUGUUGGCCAGGCUGGUUUCGAACUCCUGACCUCAGGUGAUCCACCCACCUCAGCCUCCCAAAGUGCUGGGAUUACAGGCGUGAGCCACUGCGCCUGGCCCCAUAAAUUAUUAAAAACCAAAAAGAUGAUACAAACGAAUAGUGGAAUAUAUCAGUCAGUGGAGAGAAAUUCUCCAUUUUUUAUCAUCUUCUCUGCUUUGUGUGAAGAUGAGUCAGAAUGGAUGCAUCAAGUGGGCUUCUGCUUGAUGGAAACCUGUAUUGCUGUUGCGUUUGGAAAGAAACUAAUAGUGAUAAUCUUGAGGUGAUUUAUGCAUUCUUCCAUGGCCACCAGCCUUAUGGUUGCAUCUCUGCGUCACAGCUUAGAGAUUAAUAACGGAUGCAACAAGCUGUUUGAACCAUUCUGUUGGGAUCAAGAUUGUUGUGUUUUCCUCUGCUUGGAAAGAGACCAAGAAUGGAUACGCUCAGGUGAUUUAAGCAGUCUUCCAUGGCCACGAGCUCCGUGGUUGCCUCUGUAUAUUAAGAGCACAGAGAUUAAAAAUGGACCCACUCAAGCUGACUUCAGAAUUCCUCCUUGGUCACAAGCUUUUUGAUUGCAAGUCUGCAUUAGGAGCCUAGAGAACAAUAAUGGGUGCACUUGAGCCGAUUGAAACCUUCCUCCUUGCAUCUUUCUUCUGUGAUUGCAUCUAUUUGUUAGUAGCAUAGAGACCAAUAAUGGACAUCCUUGUUCUGUCUUGAGAAUUCCUCUAGGGUCACAUGCUCUGUUUGCACCAUGCUUAGGAAGGAGCGUGCAGACCAAUAAUAGAUGGCUUGUGCUGAUGGAAGGAUUCCUCCCUGGUGACAUGCUGUGUCUGCCUCUUGAUUGGGAGCACACAGACCUACAAUGAUGCACUUUUUAUGAUUUGAGAAUUCCUCGAUGGUCACGUGCUCUGUUUUUAUCAUGGUUGGGAGCCUGCAGACCAAUAAGGGACAUGCCUUUGCUGGUUUGAGGAUUCCUCUGAGGUUGGGAGCUAAGUUUGCAUCAUGCUUAGAAAGGAGUGUGCAGACCUGUAAUGAUUGCACUCUGCUGAUUGAAGGAUUCCUUCAAGUCCAUGUGCUCCACUUUCACCAUUUUUAGGAUGGAGCCUGGAGACCUAUAACGAACAACUUGUGCUGUGUUAAGGAUUCCUCCAUGAUCACGCGCCCCAUUUGUACACCAUGCUUGGGAAGGUGCAUGCAGACCAAUAAUGGACGUACUUGUGAUGAUUUAAAGAUGCCUCCAAGGUCAUGUGCUCUGUUUGCACCAUGCUUAGGAAGGAGCGUACAGACCAAAAAUGGAUGAAUUGUGCACCUUGAAAAGUUCUUCCAUGGUCACCUGAGGCAUCUGCGUCAUGAUUAGGCUCAGGAUGACUAAUAAUGGACGUACUUGUUCUGAUUUGAGGACUUCUUCAUGGUCACGUGUUCUGUUUGCACCAUGCUUAGGAAGGAGCAUGUGUACCAAUAAUGGAAGCACAGAAGCUGGUUUUCACUACUUAAGAGCUGUAUGGUCCAUCUCUGUGCUAGAAGCUGGAGACCAAUAACAGUCACUCCCUGCACUGAUUCUGCCAUGACCACUUGCUCUAUGGUUGUUUUAAGGAACCUACAGACAAAUGUGAGUAAUCGCCAAAGUUCUUGUCUUGGUUUGGGCCAUUUAAGAGUGGUCAAUGCAUUAUUAAUAAGUAGAAAAUAUAAUUAAAGAAGACUAACCGUGGCCCCAAAAUGAACAUGGGGUUGAUAUGAAACAUUUUGUUGAGUAAUGCAUGUUUGAAACAAUCAGGUCAGUUCAAGAAACAUGUCUAAUUUCUGUAGGAACUGCUCUACAGAUAGACAACAGGGUUAUCACAGCUCUUGUCCUAUUUUUUUCUGAUUCAUGUCUAUUUAUUAUAAAGUAGUAAAUUAAUAAAUAAAUGAAAUAGACAAAGUCUAAAUGAAAAAAAUGAUUGAUGGUCUGUGGCCUGGCCCAGAGAUGAUGACUCGUGGGUAUGAGUCAAGGAUGAUGAGUAAUAAGAAUCAGGAAGUUUAAGCUCCAGUAUAAAAGAAAUCUAGCCUAUUGAUCAGUUGGAAAUGAUCCUGUAGACAGUAGUUAAAAAUAUUCAGUUAUCAGCUGGGCACGGUGUCUCACACCUGUAAUCCCAGCACUUUGGGAGGCCGAGGUGGGCAGAUCACAAGGUUAGGAGUUUAAGACCAGCCUGACCAACACAGUGAAACCCCGUCUCUAAUAAAAAUACAAAAAUUAGCCGGGUGUGGUGGCGAGUGCCUGUAAUCCCAGCUACUUGGGAGGCUGAGGCAGGAGAAUUGCUUAAACCCAGGAGGUUGAGGUUGCAGUGAGUCAAGAUCGCGCCACUGAAUUCCAGCCUGGGCAACAGAGUGAGACCCUGUCUCGAAAAAAAAAAAACAAAAAAAAAAAACCCCCAAA